AUUGAACGCUGGCGGCAUGCUUUACACAUGCAAGUCGAACGGUAACAGCACUUCGGUGGCUGACGAGUGGCGAACGGGUGAGUAAUACAUCGGAACGUGCCUAGUAGUGGGGGAUAACUACUCGAAAGAGUAGCUAAUACCGCAUGAGAUCUAAGGAUGAAAGCAGGGGACCUUCGGGCCUUGCGCUACUAGAGCGGCUGAUGGCAGAUUAGGUAGUUGGUGGGAUAAAAGCUUACCAAGCCGACGAUCUGUAGCUGGUCUGAGAGGACGACCAGCCACACUGGGACUGAGACACGACCCAGACUCCUACGGGAGGCAGCAGUGGGGAAUUUUGGACAAUGGGCGCAAGCCUGAUCCAGCAAUGCCGCGUGCAGGAUGAAGGCCUUCGGGUUGUAAACUGCUUUUGUACGGAACGAAAAGCCCUCUUCUAAUACAGGAGGGUCAUGACGGUACCGUAAGAAUAAGCACCGGCUAACUACGUG
rnacentral:rRNA from 1 species